rnacentral:rRNA from 1 species
GACGAACGCUGGCGGCGUGCUUAACACAUGCAAGUCGAACGGAAAGGCCCUGCUUUUGUGGGGUGCUCGAGUGGCGAGCGGGUGAGUAACACGUGAGUAACCUGCCCUUGACUUUGGGAUAACUUCGGGAAACUGGGGCUAAUACCGGAUAGGAGCUCCUGCUGCAUGGUGGGGGUUGGAAAGUUUCGGCGGUUGGGGAUGGACUCGCGGCUUAUCAGCUUGUUGGUGGGGUAGUGGCUUACCAAGGCUUUGACGGGUAGCCGGCCUGAGAGGGUGACCGGCCACAUUGGGACUGAGAUACGGCCCAGACUCCUACGGGAGGCAGCAGUGGGGAAUAUUGCACAAUGGGCGGAAGCCUGAUGCAGCAACGCCGCGUGCGGGAUGACGGCCUUCGGGUUGUAAACCGCUUUCGCCUGUGACGAAGCGUGAGUGACGGUAAUGGGUAAAGAAGCACCGGCUAACUACGUG